AAUCAUCCACCGAUACAUUUUUUUCAGCGUUGGGUUGAGAUAGGAGGGAGGACCGGACAUAGUAUCGGAAUAACCAAAACAAAACAAAAGGAUGAUGUUGUUCGGCAAACACGUAAGUCGACGCCAAAUUACAGGUUGGGCCUCUGGGUUUCUGUUCUUUGCGUCGUCAGCGUACGAUGUGCAUUAUGUGAAUACAUACAUCAAGAACAACGGAAAACCCCCUUGCCGGGACCAACUCCAAGCCAUUCAUGACUACCUCAAUUCUCGAAAGGAUAAGUAGUUAUGUUAUGAUAGGAUAGGAAGUGUUCCUUAUUGUUUUUUUUUUUUUUGUUUACCACGUUAAGUUAGCAGAAAACGUGGGCUGCAGUUUCUUUUUGAGAAGGCUAUUUAUUAGCCAAACACUUGCUGAAUAAAAUAAUCAUCUCCCAGAAUUGUUUUGAGUUCUUCUCUUUAAACUUUUGUUCUUAACAGUCGCUUCCCUUAAAAUCCACACCCUGUAUUAUGCCACGUCAUCCUAUCACCAAUUCCCAAUUCUCAAUUCUCCUUCUCCCCAACCUUUUCUUUUCCUAUAUCUUUCUAUAUGUAUGCUAAACCAUCCAUCAAUAAAUUGUAGUAAAAAUUCAUG